AGAGUUUGAUCCUGGCUCAGGACGAACGCUGGCGGCGUGCCUAAUACAUGCAAGUCGAGCGAAUCAAUAGGAGCUUGCUCCUGUUGGUUAGCGGCAGACGGGUGAGUAACACGUGGGCAACCUGCCUGUAAGACUGGGAUAACUUCGGGAAACCGGAGCUAAUACCGGAUAAUUCUUUUCCUUUCAUGAGGGAAAGCUGA
rnacentral:rRNA from 1 species